rnacentral:rRNA from 1 species
UGAGGAUUUAAAUGGCCGCGGUAUUUUGACCGUGCAAAGGUAGCAUAAUCAUUAGUUUUUUAAUUGAAAGCUUGUAUGAAAGGUUGGAUGAGAAAAUAGCUGUCUCUGCUUUAACUAUUUAGAAUUUUAUUUUUAAGUAAAAAAGCUUAAAUUUUAGUAGAAGACGAGAAGACCCUAUAGAGUUUUAUUUAUUUUUUGUUUAAAAUUUUAAGUAUUGAAAAUUUUUAUGUUUAAAAUAAAUUUAAUUGGGGUGAUUGAAAAAUUUAUUAAACUUUUUUUUUAUAUAAUCAUUAAUUUAUGAGUUUUUGAUCCUUUUAUAAAGAUUAUAAGAUUAAAUUACCUUAGGGAUAACAGCGUAAUUUUUUUAAAGAGUUCAAAUCGAAAAAAAAGAUUGCGACCUCGAUGUUGGAUUAAAAUAAAAUUUUGGUGUAGAAGCUAGGAUAUUUAGGUCUGUUCGACCUUUAAAAUUUUACAUGAUCUGAGUUUAAACCGGUGUGAGCCAGGUUGGUUUCUAUCUCUACUUUGUUAUAAUAUUUUAGUACGAAAGGACCAAGUAUUAGUUUGAUAAAUUUAUUUUAGAAUAAUAUU